rnacentral:rRNA from 1 species
GACGAACGCUGGCGGCGUGCCUAAUACAUGCAAGUAGAACGCUGAAGGAGGAGCUUGCUUCUCUGGAUGAGUUGCGAACGGGUGAGUAACGCGUAGGUAACCUGCCUGGUAGCGGGGGAUAACUAUUGGAAACGAUAGCUAAUACCGCAUAAUAGUAGAUGUCGCAUGACAUUUGCUUAAAAGGUGCAAUUGCAUCACUACCAGAUGGACCUGCGUUGUAUUAGCUAGUUGGUGAGGUAACGGCUCACCAAGGCAACGAUACAUAGCCGACCUGAGAGGGUGAUCGGCCACACUGGGACUGAGACACGGCCCAGACUCCUACGGGAGGCAGCAGUAGGGAAUCUUCGGCAAUGGACGGAAGUCUGACCGAGCAACGCCGCGGGAGUGAAGAAGGUUUUCGGAUCGUAAAGCUCUGUUGUAAGAGAAGAACGAGUGUGAGAGUGGAAAGUUCACACUGUGACGGUAGCUUACCAGAAAGGGACGGCUAACUACGUG